GUUGAUUGGGAAACUCGUCAAUUACACAAUGAACACCGAGACAAUCUCAGUCGCCCAAUGGCGGGCCCCAACCUGUUUUCAGGACGCUUUAAUGCCGGGGGAUUACAAAGGACGGCGGGAACUCAAAACCUGUCUUAUCGGAGUUUCAUCGCAUCCUUUGAUGUGGCUU
rnacentral:sRNA from 1 species